GGAACUGAAACAUCUAAGUACCUGAAGGAAGAGAAAGAAAUUCGAUUCCGUAAGUAGCGGCGAGCGAACGCGGAUUAGCCCAAACCAAUAAAGUUUUCUUUAUUGGGGUUGCGGACAUAUCAUAACGGAGAGGUAUCGUAAUUGAAGAGGUUUGGAAAGACCCACCACAGAAGGUAAUAGUCCUGUAUGUUAAACGAGAAGACUUUA
rnacentral:rRNA from 1 species